rnacentral:misc_RNA from 1 species
GCUAUAUGUUAUAUCAGAAGUUGUGCCACUGCUGGUGAAUGAAUAAAAGGGAUCAAAAAGAAGAUUAAAACCAUAUUUGAGUCAAAUUAAUGAGACUGAGCAAGUUACAAACUGGUCUCUUGAACAAAUUAGAAUAGAGCAGAAGGCUUUGGAAUCCUCUUAAAAAAGGAGAGAUUACUACGAUUACCAGUGUUCAAAUGAGCUAAAUGUCCAGCAAAACAAUGCAUCAUCCCAACAUAAGCAUCUCUACAUCCUCUCAAAAGCUUCAUAGCAGAAGAGACUUUUGGUCGCACAUUUUCCUUGAUCUUCCAUCUGCAAGCUUUCACAGUUUUCUUUUGUUUCAACCUCUGAUAUCUUCUUCUUCUCCUACGCCUCUUUAUAUUUGUGCAAAAUGCACUAAUGCUAAUCAUCAUUUCCAAAUACUAUGGAAACAAAUAAUUAACCAAAAAUGAUGAUCCACUUGAACUUUUAUAUGCCUAAAAGCAAAAGGGCUAGAGUUAGUUGGGUGGUUCCAAUGAAAUUAUUCCAGCAAAUGAACAAAGUAAAUAGAGUUUUCUGGUAAAGGAAAAGUUAGGUUGGGCAGAUGUGGAUUAUCGAUGUUGUCCUUGUACUAGAGGCACUUAAAGUCAGCAAAACGAGUAAAAAAUUUAAUGUAUCAGCUGCCUUAAUUUGUCGGUAACAAGUAACACCUAACCAACUGCUAUUUUUCUUUUUGUUUUUCUUUUUCUUUCUCUUUCUGCUAUGGCAUUCGGUCUUCUCUACUCACAGAAUUAAUAU